rnacentral:rRNA from 1 species
UACGAAGGGGGGCUAGCGUUGCUCGGAAUCACUGGGCGUAAAGCGCACGUAGGCGGAUUGCUAAGUCAGGGGUGAAAUCCUGGAGCUCAACUCCAGAACUGCCUUUGAUACUGGCGACCUUGAGUCCGGGAGAGGUGAGUGGAACUGCGAGUGUAGAGGUGAAAUUCGUAGAUAUUCGCAAGAACACCAGUGGCGAAGGCGGCUCACUGGCCCGGUACUGACGCUGAGGUGCGAAAGCGUGGGGAGCCAAACA